GAUGAACGCUGGCGGCGUGCCUAAUACAUGCAAGUCGAGCGAACAGACGAGGAGCUUGCUCCUCUGACGUUAGCGGCGGACGGGUGAGUAACACGUGGAUAACCUACCUAUAAGACUGGGAUAACUUCGGGAAACCGGAGCUAAUACCGGAUAAUAUAUUGAACCGCAUGGUUCAAUAGUGAAAGACGGUUUUGCUGUCACUUAUAGAUGGAUCCGCGCCGCAUUAGCUAGUUGGUAAGGUAACGGCUUACCAAGGCAACGAUGCGUAGCCGACCUGAGAGGGUGAUCGGCCACACUGGAACUGAGACACGGUCCAGACUCCUACGGGAGGCAGCAGUAGGGAAUCUUCCGCAAAGGGCGAAAACUUGACGGAGCAACGCCGCGUGAGUGAUGAAGGUCUUCGGAUCGUAAAACUCUGUUAUUAGGGAAGAACAAAUGUGUAAGUAACUAUGCACGUCUUGACGGUACCUAAUCAGAAAGCCACGGCUAACUACGUG
rnacentral:rRNA from 1 species